AAUUCAGUUUUCGAAGUCUACGAGUAUUAGACGAGUUUAUAAAGCCACCAAAGUAUUCGAUACGUGUAUCACUUUGGUUCGAUACGACAUUAUUUUCAUCAGGUGUUGGAUAAAAUCAAGCAUAAAUGUGUAUACAAAUUACACAAAUUAAUUUAGAAACAUGAAAGCGAAUAAUAGCGUCUUCUUCGGUGUUCUUGCUUGUCAGGCUCGUAUCAUAAAAACUUACCUAUGCACGAUGUAACUUACAAACGAAAAGAAAGAUGUGUUCUGAUUUUCGAUUGGAAGAAUCCAUUUUCAUCGAUUGCAUACUAGCAAUCAGAAGCCAAAACAUAUUUAGUGUCUUUCGUAAACGUGGGAGUAUACACUCAGGAGUAGUUGAAGAAUUCAACGCGAGAUGGAGCAACAGUAUUCUUAAAGCUCGUUUGAUGCGAGCAUUUGGCUUUGUACAGUGGUUCGUAUAUUCGCGAGUGAUGCAGAGAACCGUGAACGAUGAACGACCUCUUCCAAGAAACGAUUCCAAAAUUUCGUUACAAGUUAUUUGGCAAAACUCCAUUGUCCCUUCCCAUCGUUCCUUUGUUUUGGCAAACUUAGCGACUAGAGGUAAAACAAUCAAAUCCUUAGUAACCUGUAUGCGUUUGUUUUUUAUCGAGUUAAAGUAAAUCUGUCUAAUUUGAAAUUAAAUUGUAUACUUCUCAGACUGUGAUUCGUAACACGAUGAUAUGAAAUCAGUAAAGUGAAACAUAAUCAAAUUUUUUGAAAAUUGAUGAAGUUGAAAGAAAGUAACUACUUGUCACUUUCUGGAAUAAUUAAACAUCCAAGAAGAAAACUUUUUCGGCUCGAUCACUUUACUAUUUACCGAAAGGAAUUUAAGAACCUUCACCAAUUUUUCCCGCAGCGACCGAAUAAUCAUCGAAACACAGCUGAGAGCUAUUCUCAGUUCCAGGAACUUUUAUUUUCCUCUCU